rnacentral:lncRNA from 1 species
UUUUACUUAGAUUAAAAUUUAGUCUAACAUGUAAGUUGUCCGUUAUCCGUGUUUUAGUGGCUCCUUAAACAAGACAAUGUCCGUGAAUCUGUUCGAAUCUGACGAAGGAGAAUCACGAAAUAUCACAGAACAAAUGAUCGAAUCUGGCCAUGCCGACGAAGCUAAGUUUAAAAUACUUAAACACGUUGAUCCGAAAUCUCUUUACGCAGGCAAAAGCGUGAUAGUACAUCCAGGUUAACCGGUUGAGUUACUUAGAUCAGAGUUACAGUUUAUUGUUGUGUUGUUGUAGUGCAGACCCACGCUUUGGAACGGACCCAAAAUUUUCCCGAAUUUUUGGCCCAUGUUUGACAAUGCUCACUAGGGUAUAUAGAAGGUUUCAGAUAUAAAUAGAAAGAUAUAAAGCAGGUUUUAUCCUCAACAGACAAAUUUGGCUAACGUUGUUUACACCGUUGCUACCCAAUUUAGAAUUCUCGAUAACUCACAUGCCUAUAAUUACGACUGUUCUAGUUUAUAGAAGCAUAUACAGGGUGUCCCAAAAAAACCUCCAAAACUAUAUUGAAAUAACGCAUUGUUAGAAUUUGAAUGCCUCGGCACUCUGCUGAACUCACA